rnacentral:misc_RNA from 1 species
UUGUUUUGUUUACGAUAUAUUACAUUCUUUACGUUUUGUUUUGGUGUUGUCUGGAACGCCUGAGCGUUCCAAAACGGUUCACGGUGUGUGUGGAUGAAGACACGACCUUUCGGUCAAUCUAUAAUGAUCCUUCCGCAGGUUCACCUACGGAAA